rnacentral:rRNA from 1 species
GACGAACGCUGGCGGCGUGCUUAACACAUGCAAGUCGAACGGUAAGACCCUUCGGGGUACACGAGUGGCGAACGGGUGAGUAACACGUGGGUGAUCUGCCCUGCACUUCGGGAUAAGCCUGGGAAACUGGGUCUAAUACCGGAUAGGACCACUGCCUGCAUGGGUGGUGGUGGAAAGCUUUUGCGGUGUGGGAUGGGCCCGCGGCCUAUCAGCUUGUUGGUGGGGUGAUGGCCUACCAAGGCGACGACGGGUAGCCGGCCUGAGAGGGUGGCCGGCCACACUGGGACUGAGAUACGGCCCAGACUCCUCCGGGAGGCAGCAGUGGGGAAUAUUGCACAAUGGGAGCAAGCCUGAUGCAGCGACGCCGCGUGAGGGAUGACGGCCUUCGGGUUGUAAACCUCUUUCAGCACCGACGAAGCGCAAGUGACGGUAGGUGCAGAAGAAGGACCGGCCAACUACGUGCCAGCCGCCGCAGUAA